GCUCAGUCCGCCCAUGACACCAACAUCUACCAGGGAAACUUUCUUGGGAGCAGAGAUAUUAAGAUCAAUCAAUCCUCGACUAAGUGAAUCUGCCCAAAUCCCAGAUUUGACCUGGAAAGUAUUCUUCUUGGCUGGAGCUGUUGAACUGUUGAUAGGUUUUCCAUCUAAAUUAUUAGAUGGGCCACCAACAGGAUUCUGGGAAGGUUCUAAUGACACUGGUUCAGAACGCGAAGACGGUGCACCGAAAAGAUCUGAUCCAUCAAAAG
rnacentral:misc_RNA from 1 species